AUGUGUGUAUAUAUAUACACAUACUGUUAGUUUAUCUGGAUUUAAUAUUUAACAACUUCAAGUAAAAUGUUGAAGACUGGCAACCAUACAGGUUUCUUUACUCUCUCUCUUUAUGUUAUAGUUGUCGUCUGUAUUACAUUUGGAUACAUUGACACCCUCCCAAACAGUGUUACAAUUUUUGCAUUCAAACUUCAUACAUAGUUUCAAUAACUUAAAAACGAAAAGUAUUAUAUAACUAGGUAUUUAUCAUUUCUACGGUUUUUUAUUCAUUCCUGAAGUUUCAAGUUUUCUUCUAGGAACAUUUUUCUUCCACAUUAGCUUCCUUUAGGAAUUUUUCUUAGAUAUAUUGGCAAUGAAUUCUCUUUGUUUUUCUUCAUGUGAGAAUAUCCUUAUUUUACAUUCAUUCCUGAAGGAUAUUUCCACUGCAUAUAGAAUUCUGAGUUGACAUUUUUUUUUUCUUUCAGCACUUUAAGGAUUUUGCUCCCCUGCCUUUAUGGUUUCUGAUGAGGAAUCAUUAGCAUUCACUAGUAUCUGCAGUAUUUGAGUUGUUGCUCUCCUAUGCAAAAUAUAUCGUUUUGCUAUGGCUGCUUUCUAGAUAUUUAUCUUUGGUUUUUGGCAGUUUAAUUUUGAUGUGUGUUAGCAUGGUUUUCUUUGAGUUUAUUUUGUUUGGUUUUUCUAGACUUCUUGAAUCUAUGAAUUUAUGUCUUUUGCGAUAUUUGAGGAAUUUUUGUUCAUUGUUUUGUCAAAUAUUUUGUCUGUCCUGAUAUCUUUCAUCUCUUGUUCAGGGACUCCAGUGAUAUUGAGAUUGUCCCACAGGUUCCGUGGCUAUUUACCUACUUUUAAUCCUUUUUCUCUUUGUUUUACAGGCUAUACAAGAAGAAGCAUGGCACCAGCAUCUGCUUCUGGUGAGCAGCUCAGGCUGCUUCCAUUCCUGGUGGAAGGGAAAGGGGAGCUGACUUGUGCAGAGAUCACUUCCAAGAGGGAAAUCAAGAGAGAGAGAGAAGUUUUGUUCACAUUCUUUGGAAUCAGAAGUGGAAUUCAAGCAACACUGAUUCUUCUCCUGAUGCUGUCCUGAACCAACACAUUGGGAUCUUCAAGGGUCCUUUGAGUUCAGUUGUCUUCUCAGAGAUGCCAGGAAGCCUCAGGUGUAUGCAUGUCUGUUCGUAUGUUGUCUACAUAAUACCAAGUUGACUUCGUUUGUUCGUUCGUGUGUUUUUGUUGAGCUACCGGGCCUGGCCCCACAUUGACUUUUAAAUAAAUAGCAUUGAGUCAUGGAUCCAUAUUUCUCAUUUAAAAAGAAGGCUCUUGAUCCUUCUACCAAGUGAACCGCCCAACUGGUCACUGAUAUCAAGCUCAAGUUAAUCAAACUACAGCCACCAGGACAAGAAGAAGACAACAUCUGGGGUAGACUGCUUUCUCCCAAGAUACCAGAGCAGGCCUGUAUAACCUCUUUCUUAUCUUGAGCUAACAUGCCUAGUCCUUAUGUUUACUUUGCAAUUAUUUUAAUUAUCAUAGCUUUGAGAAUCUUAUGCCUCCUGGGUGUCUUAUGCCACUCUGGGGUAGUUCCAUAUAUUCCACUAUUUAGACACGCCAUGGGACUCACUGCCUUGCUGGACUCUUUAUAAUCCCCUCUUUUUACACCAUGCUGUACUUCUUCCUUGUCCUUUCUUUCUCAACUCUGCUUUUCAGUUCCUCCUACUCGUGGGAAGAUAAUGCCUAGGUACAGCAAUCCCAAUCCUUGCCUCUGCAGGCAACCUAACUGAGUGUUGGAUAUGUCACCUUUCCCCCUGCCGAAGUCAUCGGAGGAAACAGGAAUCCUAUAAUCAUCCCAGUGACCAGCUUCCCUAAUGUGCUCAGUUGCUUGGUACUCCUGUUUGAUCCACUUGCUGUUGCCUAUUGGGUGCAUAUUCAUGCUCCUGAGGUUCAUCCUUGUUUUCUCCUCACUGGUAUAUCCCAUAAAUACCUUCCUAUUACCCUACCUUGCAUUUCCUCCCCUUCUUCUGAAUACUCACCACCCCCCUCCUCUGUGUCUUGCCAAAUCCCAUAGAAACAGAACACUUAGUAACACUUCUCUCUGCAGAAUAUACCAAAGAAAGCUUAAGAGUCUCCUCUAUGGCUCCCCAAAUCUGCCGGUUGGAUCACACCACUCUGUCAUUACCUAAGACAGGUACUUGGUUUGACCACAUACCCUCUCUUGCCUGUAAACAGCUCCUUGAAUUUUCAUAACCUCUCAGGAUAAUUACGUGCCCCUUCAGGCUGUGUUUUUGGCUGCAGCUACGUCAGCCAAAAAGAGUUUUUCUACCCCUGCCUCGGGUCCUGAGAAAACACAGGCAUUUGCUUUCUGGGUCAAGCCAUUGCUCCUGUCACUGUUAUUAAGUCUCUAACUCAGGGAAUGUAGAGUCUACAUCCCAGGGCCAAAAGAGCUCUACCAAUAAUUGAUGACUAUGCUGGUGAUAGCCCCUCAGAUUAUAAAGAUGAUAGCUGUGGAUACUCCUAAGGAUGUGAUUUACCUGGUAGGCUUAACUCUAGUGAAGGAUCUAAAUGGGAAGGGAUUCUGGGGUCCUGGUUUGGGCUAGACCCUGCUUGGAAUGAAUAUAGGAUCAGAAACCUUUCCUGCAUGGUUCGCAGAAUUGCCCACUCCACUGCCUGUACCAUCAGGGCACAACAGAGAUUUCCAGAUUCCCUUGCCCAUGCGAUCCUGCACAACCACAUUGCAUUAGACGGUCUCCUCGUUGCAUGUGGUGGUGUUUAUGCUGUCACUAACACUUCCUGCUGCACCUGGGUAAAUACUUCCAUUCAGGUUGAAUUAGAAGCAUCUGAGAUCCAAAGUUGGCCAAAUCCUACAGCUGGCUGUCUGAAAAGGACACCUUCAGAAAGCCUCCUGGCUGGGCUUGCUGGAUUAGAAUUCCAAUUUCCAGAUAUUUUCAGCCGGCUUCUUCUGGUAUAGGAUUCCUUCUGUGUUCUGCCCUACAAAUUGUAAUGAAUCUCCUUGGGCUAAGCAUUUGGCUCCUCUUUAAAAUCAUUGUAGCCUGCUUUAACAGAUAUCUGCAUGAGACCCUCACCAGGAUCGUGCUGACCCAAGACCUUGAGACUUUAGACUCAUUCCAGCUGGAAACGGAAGCCAGCUUAAGCCAAGAGAUGUUAAUUCAUAUUUAACAGGUGCCUGAGUGCCUCUCAUAAGUAAAUGGCUCUAGUUGCUCAGUUGAUCACUGCCUUGUCAAAGGAUCUCUGCACGGGACUAGAAGAAUCUGGAACAGGUUGCCAGCCACUCUAGCACGAUGAUGGGAUGCAACCAACCUAAUCAAUCAUCAGUGCUGUCUGCUGACAGGUUUUGAUAAACGGGGGGCGUGGGGGGAAUGUGAACCUUGAAAGAGCCAAUCCCUCGGAUGAAUCCUGAGUGGCUAAUAGCCUAAUUUCAAAAGAGCCAAGUGGCCAUUUGCUUACUAGAGGUCGCACACAUACUUGGAGUUCCUGGAAAACCUGCAUGUCUGCUUAGGGGCUUUCAUAGCUGCCUGUUCAUGUUUGUGCUGCCUGAGCCAACCAAUAGACUGUGACCUAUGUCAACCAAUCAGAACUCAGCAAGUGUUGACCAAUCAGAACUCACCAAACAUCAACCGGUCAGAACUAAGCAAGUUUGAAUCCUUUAUUUGACUAAGUGGACCUGAGUGGAACCUGGAUGGGAUCUUUCACUAUAAAAGAAAAACCUUCCCUUUGCUCUCUGGAACGUACCUUCAUUUUACACUGAAGGCUGUGUCUCUUCGGUUUGCCAACUGUUACUGGAAUAAAGUCUCUUUCCUCUAAA